GGAAGGGUGGUGCCCUCAGAGGAACUCAGGGUAAGGUGUGUAGAAAAACAAAAGAAAAAAAAAAAAAAACCCAAAACAGAACUUGCUGUGUUGUUGGACCAAAUACAGUGGAGCAAGAUGGAGUGGGAAAGAGCCAACUCAUACUCAUGGCAUGGAAAGAUGAAAGUAAAAAAUCUGGGAGCAUCUACAUGCAGAUGCACAGUCAAACUCUUGGGAAUAAAAAGGAGACAGCCUAAAUGAUAGCAGUCAACUCCAGCUAGAGAAGCCUGUUCAAAAAAGGUGUACCAGCUGCAUACCUACUACCCACAGUCAGCUCAGGGGUCUACCUUAUAUUUCCUUGAGAUGUUUCCUUGUAUCCACCAUGGAUAAGGUUUGUGUGGCGUCUUAAGACUCUGCAAACCAUGUCUUUCUUUAUUCUAUGAUAAAGUUUCCUAAGUAGUGAAAGAGAGCUUUGGUCUUGUCCCCAGUCUUCUCUGCCUCGGAUUGCCUGAUUCCAAUUUUCUCUAUGUGACCUUCUUGUAACAUUUCUUGAGUGGGAAUAUUCUUGUUGAAAUGUAUCUUUUCUAAGACCGUGAUAGGCUCCCUUAUUUCAGAUGGGGUCUGUCCGAGUAACACAGGACCCAGUGGCACUCACACGAGGCAUCCCAUAAAAAGACUAGACCCGACUGACCUUGUUAAUGUGACGUCAAGUCUGGGGAGAAUAUAGAAGAUGCUGCACUUGUAGCGAUUCUCCAUAUUCCUUUCUAGCUCUGUCAGCAACUUAUGGCUUCACCAAAUAAGUUCUUGGGGAUGAUGGACAGGCGUGUGUCAAGAAUUCCGAGGCAUUCGGAUAGAGAAGUCUCUUCAUGUCUAUGGGCUUGGUUCCUUAGCUUCCUUCAUCCAUUUAGAACAACUUACACAAUAAAAUGUACAUUUUCACCCCAGGCAAUGCUUCAGUGCAACACCUGAUUCUUGACUAAAAAUUUAUCCAGUUCAAGCUUUCUUGACCAAUGUCAAGGUGUUGCUUUGACUUUGAUACCAAGCACCUGUUUCAAGUUAAACUCCUCCUCAGGUGUGACUCUGGAACUUACUACAGCAAUUUACUCACUAAACAGCACAAGUAAAAGAUACUGUUUCAAUAUACUGCUGGUGAGAGAGGGUGGUGAACAGAUUGAUAAUGAUCUUCUGAUCAACUAUUUACCCUGACAUAGUUGGUGAAUUUCUUGACCCUGUUCCUAAAAUGCCAUAUGCCCUUAACUAAUGAAACUAAGUACUAACUUCUUUGUGUCAUUUAAGUCGGUGAGAUGCUGUUCUAUAUUUUGUG
rnacentral:lncRNA from 1 species